rnacentral:lncRNA from 1 species
UAGGUUUCGCCCCUUAGAGGCAUGUAUUGAAUUUUUUGAGUUCUUGGAAGGAAAAACAACUGUGAGAGAAUAGCUUAAACAUAUUUCUUCUUCCCUUUUGAUUUUUAUUGCUAGAUUAUGUCGAAUAUUAAUUCAUUGCGUUUACCCAUAGUUAUGAGUAGCUAAAUUACUUGUCUAAGGUCUUGAUGGAACCUAUUGGGGGAUGAACUUCUCGUUUAUGUUAAUGCAAAUUUGCCAGUUUUAAUCUUUGUUUAUUCAACAAUGUUCUUGUGGUGGUUAGACAAGAGGGGUUGCUCUGAUGGUAAGCAACCCCCACUUCCAACCGAGAGGUUGUGAGNNNNNNNNNNNNNNNNNNNNNNNUGCUUUAAUAGUAAGCAACCCCAUUUCCAACCGAGAGUUUGUGAGUUCCAGUCUCCCCAAGAGCAAGGUGGGAAGUUCUUGGAGGGAAGUAUGCCGGAGGUCUAUUUGGAAACAGCCUCUCUACCCUAGGGUAGGGGUAAGGUCUGCGUACACACUACCUCUCCAGACCCCAUUAAAUGAGAUUAUACUGGAUUGUUAUUGUUGUUGUUGUUCUUGUGGUAGUUAAUUGACAGGAUCCUCAAUUAGCUGUGCCUAUUUAGUGUGCAUAACUUGGAAAAGAG